CAUGCAAGUCGAGGGGCAGCAUGGUCUUAGCUUGCUAAGGCCGAUGGCGACCGGCGCACGGGUGAGUAACACGUAUCCAACCUGCCGUCUACUCUUGGACAGCCUUCUGAAAGGAAGAUUAAUACAAGAUGGCAUCAUGAGUCCGCAUGUUCACAUGAUUAAAGGUAUUCCGGUAGACGAUGGGGAUGCGUUCCAUUAGAUAGUAGGCGGGGUAACGGCCCACCUAGUCUUCGAUGGAUAGGGGUUCUGAGAGGAAGGUCCCCCACAUUGGAACUGAGACACGGUCCAAACUCCUACGGGAGGCAGCAGUGAGGAAUAUUGGUCAAUGGGCGAGAGCCUGAACCAGCCAAGUAGCGUGAAGGAUGACUGCCCUAUGGGUUGUAAACUUCUUUUAUAAAGGAAUAAAGUCGGGUAUGNAUACCCGUUUGCAUGUNCUUUAUGAAUAAGGAUCGGCUAACUCCGUGCCAGCAGCCGCGGUAAUACGGAGGAUCCGAGCGUUAUCCGGAUUUAUUGGGUUUAAAGGGAGCGUAGAUGGAUGUUUAAGUCAGUUGUGAAAGUUUGCGGCUCAACCGUAAAAUUGCAGUUGAUACUGGAUAUCUUGAGUGCAGUUGAGGCAGGCGGAAUUCGUGGUGUAGCGGUGAAAUGCUUAGAUAUCACGAAGAACUCCGAUUGCGAAGGCAGCCUGCUAAGCUGCAACUGACAUUGAGGCUCGAAAGUGUGGGUAUCAAACAGGAUUAGAUACCCUGGUAGUCCACACGGUAAACGAUGAAUACUCGCUGUUUGCGAUAUACGGCAAGCGGCCAAGCGAAAGCGUUAAGUAUUCCACCUGGGGAGUACGCCGGCAACGGUGAAACUCAAAGGAAUUGACGGGGGCCCGCACAAGCGGAGGAACAUGUGGUUUAAUUCGAUGAUACGCGAGGAACCUUACCCGGGCUUAAAUUGCAGAUGAAUUACGGUGAAAGCCGUAAGCCGCAAGGCAUCUGUGAAGGUGCUGCAUGGUUGUCGUCAGCUCGUGCCGUGAGGUGUCGGCUUAAGUGCCAUAACGAGCGCAACCCUUGUUGUCAGUUACUAACAGGUUCCGCUGAGGACUCUGACAAGACUGCCAUCGUAAGAUGUGAGGAAGGUGGGGAUGACGUCAAAUCAGCACGGCCCUUACGUCCGGGGCUACACACGUGUUACAAUGGGGGGUACAGAGGGCCGCUACCACGCGAGUGGAUGCCAAUCCCAAAAACCUCUCUCAGUUCGGACUGGAGUCUGCAACCCGACUCCACGAAGCUGGAUUCGCUAGUAAUCGCGCAUCAGCCACGGCGCGGUGAAUACGUUCCCGGGCCUUGUACACACCGCCCGUCAAGCCAUGGGAGCCGGGGGUACCUGAA
rnacentral:rRNA from 1 species